rnacentral:rRNA from 1 species
UNUGGGCUGUAACUGACGCUGAGAAGCGAAAGCAUGGGGAGCGAACAGGAUUAGAUACCCUGGUAGUCCAUGCCGUAAACAUUGGGCACUAGGUGUGGGGGACAUUCCACGUUUUCCGCGCCGUAGCUAACGCAUUAAGUGCCCCGCCUGGGGAGUACGGCCGCAAGGCUAAAACUCAAAGAAAUUGACGGGGGCCCGCACAAGCGGCGGAGCAUGCGGAUUAAUUCGAUGCAACGCGAAGAACCUUACCAAGGCUUGACAUAUACUGGACUGCGUCAGAGAUGGCGUUUCCCUUCGGGGCUGGUAUACAGGUGGUGCAUGGUUGUCGUCAGCUCGUGUCGUGAGAUGUUGGGUUAAGUCCCGCAACGAGCGCAACCCUCGUUCUAUGUUGCCAGCACGUGAUGGUGGGGACUCAUAGGAGACUGCCGGGGUCAACUCGGAGGAAGGUGGGGAUGACGUCAAAUCAUCAUGCCCCUUAUGUCUUGGGCUUCACGCAUGCUACAAUGGCCGGUACAGAGGGUUGCGAUACUGUGAGGUGGAGCUAAUCCCUAAAAGCCGGUCUCAGUUCGGAUUGGGGUCUGCAACUCGACCCCAUGAAGUCGGAGUCGCUAGUAAUCGCAGAUCAGCAACGCUGCGGUGAAUACGUUCCCGGGCCUUGUACACACCGCCCGUCAAGUCACGAAAGUUGGUAACACCCGAAGCCG